GCCUCUUUGGCCGCUGCUUCGCGUGCCCAGCUGCCUUUGCCCAGAGGGCCCGGCUCCCCGCAGCGGGUGGGACUGCGCCGUGCGUCGCCGUGAAGCCGUCGGAGAAGAGAGCGGAAGAGGCGUCGCGCGGGACGGCAGCGCCGGCGCGGGAAGACGCCGCGGAGCCCUCCGAGAAGAAAGCAGAGCCGUGGAGCGGGACGGCGAGGCAAGAGCGAGGAAGAAGAGCGUCGGCUUCGCGCUCAAGAGGGGGCGGGAGAAAGGCCCUCUGGGCAAAGGCCCCUCCCUUGGCAUCC